AGUGAACGCUGGCGGUAGGCCUAACACAUGCAAGUCGAACGGCAGCACAGUAAGAGCUUGCUCUUACGGGUGGCGAGUGGCGGACGGGUGAGGAAUACAUCGGAAUCUACUUUUUCGUGGGGGAUAACGUAGGGAAACUUACGCUAAUACCGCAUACGACCUACGGGUGAAAGCAGGGGAUCUUCGGACCUUGCGCGAUUGAAUGAGCCGAUGUCGGAUUAGCUAGUUGGCGGGGUAAAGGCCCACCAAGGCGACGAUCCGUAGCUGGUCUGAGAGGAUGAUCAGCCACACUGGAACUGAGACACGGUCCAGACUCCUACGGGAGGCAGCAGUGGGGAAUAUUGAACAAUGGGCGCAAGCCUGAUCCAGCCAUACCGCGUGGGUGAAGAAGGCCUUCGGGUUGUAAAGCCCUUUUGUUGGGGAAGAAAAGCAGCAGGUUAAUACCCCGCUGUUCUGACGGUACCCAAAGAAUAAGCACCGGCUAACUUCGUG
rnacentral:rRNA from 1 species